GAAUUGACGGGGGCCCGCACAAGCAGUGGAGUAUGUGGUUUAAUUCGAAGCAACGCGAAGAACCUUACCAGGUCUUGACAUCCAACUAACGAGGCAGAGAUGCGUUAGGUGCCCUUCGGGGAAAGUUGAGACAGGUGGUGCAUGGUUGUCGUCAGCUCGUGUCGUGAGAUGUUGGGUUAAGUCCCGCAACGAGCGCAACCCUUGUGAUUAGUUGCUACGCAAGAGCACUCUAAUCAGACUGCCGUUGACAAAACGGAGGAAGGUGGGGACGACGUCAAAUCAUCAUGCCCUUUAUGACCUGGGCCACACACGUACUACAAUGGCCAUUAACAGAGGGAAGCAAGACCGCGAGGUGGAGCAAAACCCUAAAAAUGGUCCCAGUUCGGAUCGCAGGCUGCAACCCGCCUGCGUGAAGUUGGAAUUGCUAGUAAUCGCGGAUCAGAAUGCCGCGGUGAAUACGUUCCCGGGCCUUGUACACACCG
rnacentral:rRNA from 1 species